rnacentral:misc_RNA from 1 species
UUUCCGUAGGUGAACCUGCGGAAGGAUCAUUACUGAGUGAGGGCCCUCUGGGUCCAACCUUCCACCCGUGUUUAUUGUACCUUGUUGCUUCGGUGAGCCCGCCUCACGGCCGCCGGGGAGCAUCUGCCCCCAGGGCCGCGCUGGCCGAAGUCACCCUUGAACUCUGUCUAAAGUUUGCAGUCUGAGCGAAAACUAAAUAAGUUAAAACUUUCAACAACGGAUCUCUUGGUUCCG